AUUGGUUAUUGAUAACCUUGAGAAUUAGACUUAUGAUUAGGCAGUUUAGUUGGUAACAGUAGGUUGUUAGUAGAUCAAACGGUUAAGAAUUCAAAAGUUCAUAACCUUUGGAAUCUGUUGGCCCACAGUCCUUCUUUUCAUAGAAUAAAGAGGUUGAAAAAAGGGAGAUCGAGGCCAGAUUGUAAUAGUCGUAAGCCGAGGUAAGCUUGGUGCUACUUCUUUGUUUUUUUUGCUUUUAUUAUUUUCUUAUGAAGAAUUGUGAUUGAGAGAAGUAUUGUUGAAAUUAUAAUUAGAAUAUUGUGGAAUAUGACUUUGGACUGACCAUUUUGGAAAAAAUCUGUAACCGUGAGAAUUGAGAUU
rnacentral:lncRNA from 1 species